UACAGAGGUCUCAAGCGUUGUUCGGAUUCAUUGGGCGUAAAGGGUGCGUAGGUGGCGCCGUAAGUCGGAUGUGAAAUUUCGGAGCUUAACUCCGAAACUGCAUUCGAUACUGCGGUGCUUGAGGACUGGAGAGGAGACUGGAAUUCAUGGUGUAACAGUGAAAUGCGUAGAGAUCAUGAGGAAGACCAGUGGCGAAGGCGGAUCUCUGGGCAGUUCCUGACACUGAGGCACGAAGGCCAGGGGAGCAAACGGG
rnacentral:rRNA from 1 species